GGGGAUGACACCCUUCUGUGGCCUGGUCU
rnacentral:piRNA from 1 species